UACGUAGGGAGCAAGCGUUGUUCGGAUUUACUGGGCGUAAAGGGCGCGUAGGCGGCGCGGUAAGUCACUUGUGAAAUCUCUGAGCUUAACUCAGAACGGCCAAGUGAUACUGCAGUGCUAGAGUGCAGAAGGGGCAAUCGGAAUUCUUGGUGUAGCGGUGAAAUGCGUAGAUAUCGAGAGGAACACCUGCGGCGAAGGCGGGUUGCUGGGCUGACACUGACGCUGAGGCGCGAAAGCCAGGGGAGCGAACGGG
rnacentral:rRNA from 1 species